ACGUUAGCGGCGGACGGGUGAGUAACACGUGGGUAACCUACCUAUAAGACUUGGAUAACUCCGGGAAACCGGGGCUAAUACCGGAUAACACAUGAAACCGCAUGGUUUCAUGAUGAAAGACGGUUUUGCUGUCACUUAUAGAUGGACCCGCGGCGUAUUAGCUAGUUGGUAAGGUAACGGCUUACCAAGGCAACGAUACGUAGCCGACCUGAGAGGGUGAUCGGCCACACUGGAACUGAGACACGGUCCAG
rnacentral:rRNA from 1 species